rnacentral:misc_RNA from 1 species
GCAAACUUGGUCAUUUAGAGGAAGUAAAAGUCGUAACAAGGUUUCCGUAGGUGAACCUGCGGAAGGAUCAUUAAAAAAAUUGCCUAAGACAUUCAUGUCCCAAGGCCCCACACCGUGUGCACCAUUUAAACCGUUCUUUGGCAGGGUCUUUGGGUUCUCUUUUUCUGGGGGGCCCAACUUCUCGUAGACUCAAUCCUUGUGUUUCAUGGACAGUCGAACGUGGGAAGCAGUUGCCCUGCCAAGUAACUCUUAAAACACGCAUUUUUGUCUGAAGCAUCAUUUUUUUUUUUUGCGAUUAUAACGCAUAAUAAAAACAUAACUUUCAACAACGGAUCUCUUGGCUCCCGCAUCGAUGAAGAACGCAGC